rnacentral:tmRNA from 1 species
UUAGACUUCAAGGUUCAAAGAAUUACUGACAGAAUAAUCAGUAGGUCUCUCCUUAAAUUUGGGGGCGUUACGGAUUCGACAGGCAUUGUCGCGCAUGAACUGCAACUGCUGAGGGAUCAGGAUAAUCAU